UGAACGCUAGCUACAGGCUUAACACAUGCAAGUCGAGGGGCAGCAUGGACAUAGCUUGCUAUGUUUGAUGGCGACCGGCGCACGGGUGCGUAACACGUAUCCAAUCUGCCCGUUACUCGGGGAUAGCCUUCUGAAAGGAAGAUUAAUACCCGAUGGCAUGUAUUUCCGGCAUCGGAGAUACAUUAAAGAUUUAUCGGUAACGGAUGAGGAUGCGUACGAUUAGCUGGUUGGCGGGGUAACGGCCCACCAAGGCUACGAUCGUUAGGGGUUCUGAGAGGAAGGUCCCCCACACUGGAACUGAGACACGGUCCAGACUCCUACGGGAGGCAGCAGUGAGGAAUAUUGGUCAAUGGUCGAGAGACUGAACCAGCCAAGUAGCGUGAAGGAUGACUGCCCUACGGGUUGUAAACUUCUUUUGUUUGGGAAUAAAUGAUACUACGUGUAGUAUUUUGCAUGUACCUUACGAAUAAGCAUCGGCUAAUUCCGUG
rnacentral:rRNA from 1 species